CUUCUAUGGCUGCAAUCUCUGGAUCAAAUCCUGCACGUAUUUAAUGCUUCCACUAUUUAGAUUUGUUUCAAUAUGGUGGUUUAUUUGAAUAAGAAAAGCAUUGCUGCAUCUCCUGGUCUGGUGGGUGACCUGAAGAAAAUUUUUCAUUUCAUUAAUAUCUUGAUGUGUGAAAUUGAGAUUAUGUUCCAGAUCUUCAGUCUCUUUCACUUAGGAUUCCCAGAAUGUAUCCCAGGUGCUUUGAGUUGAAGAUUGGGAUGAAGAGCAACAUCUUGUACAGUGGACGUUGUCCUCAGCUCUGAACUGAUGUCUAGCUGAUGGGAAGCUGGCAACGUACUUCUUUCACCCUGCUCCUUAAGUCUUUCCUUGUAUGAAGAUGGGAAACCACCAUCUUCCAAGCAACUUGCCAGCAAGUCCCAUUCUCAAAGGCUUGAGUUGACUGGUGUCAGUAGGGAAGCUUGACAGCCACCUAUGAGGAAAGCGGACUUUGUGACACAUGAAAGAGACCCCUGGGCCUUGAAGCUACUAUGUGGCAGGGAAAUACUUCAUGUCUGCCAAAAGCCUUGGAAGUGCCUCUCAUGGCUGCUCUGUUGUUCUGCAUAAAGCAAGACGUGUAUUUGCAUGUCCUCCUGCUCUGGCUCCAGCAGAAACCACCUGAAGGAUUUUCUGAAUGGUCAGAUCCUCCUCCUAUAGCGCUAAUCAACACAGCAAUGCACAGAUUUUGCCUUUGGAGAGAUGUUCAAAUCAGGAGAUCCUAUGGAAAAUCUUCAGGACUGUUUGAAAUUCCCAUCUGUGGAGCUCUUGUGUCGAGCAGUCAAGUGCUUGCUUGUGCUGCUGUCCAGAAGUUCAGACAAUGACCUAUUUGACUGCCAGUUGACACCGCGUUAGUCGGCUGUCUCUCCAUUCCAGAGAGACUGGGGAGCUCCCGACCCAGCCUGGCCUGACUCUUUCAGGAGCCAGGGAGCUGAGGGAUGAUGCUGCCUGACUGGUGGUGCUGGGACUGACCAGCUCUGCCAUACACUGGAAGUUGUAAUGAGAGGCAGGAAGGUCAGCAGCAUGGCCACACACCCCUGCGGCCAAAGAGGCCAGCGUGCUGCCCCAUUCCUCCCAGGGCAGAGCGGCUCUAGCCAGCAGGAUCUGGGGAGAACCAGGUUUCCUCUCACCCAUGUCCAGGCCAGCACAGUCAUCACACUCACAUGUGGCUGCAGUGUUGCUCCAGGUGAAGCAAUGUUGGUGCAUGCCUUUGGGAGCUCAGGAAAAACAGAGGACCAAGUGUCAUGGCCUGGGAAAGCAAAUAGGUUGAUGGCCACAUCAGCCAGGGCAGGCAGUGAUGCAAGGGAAGCUGUCAAGGACAGAGCAACCCAAGUGCAGAGAUGCAGAGUGCCUGGCAGAGGUCCCUGAGCUGACCCCAAUUGUGUGCCAAGGGACCUUGCUCCCAGAGCCACCAGUGCGGUGAAGGGCCUGGGCAUAGUCCCAGGGGUGUCCUCCAGUGCAUGGAGGACCACGUGGGCAGUGCUGACAGAAGCAUUUUUUCCCUCUCCCUCUUUGCAAGGUCUUCAGAAAUCUGGCCAAACCAGGACCAAACGUACCUCAGGGCUCUUAAUGUCUUUUGGGUACAUUUUUAUGGUUUAUUGGCAAUAUUUUUGUUACUCCUGGAGAUCAACCUUAGGGAGAUUCUUCUGUUUGACUGUCCUGUGUAAUUCCUUGCAGGCCAAACUGCAUUUUAAAAAAUGGAUGUCAUUUCAAGGAUUGCUGUUUAAAAGACAUUUUUUUUUCCUAUCUAUUUUUUUUUUCUGUAAAGAUUCCUGUUUUGCAAAGCCCUUUUCUAUUUGACAUUUCCACAAAAAUAAAAUUUUCAUGAGAAAUGUUCAUUUCAAUGAGCCUGGUCAGAUGACACAAGCUUUCCAUCAAAUGCAGUAAUUUUAAGACAAGAUGGAGAAAUGUGGAGAAAAACAACACGUGAAGAUUCAAAACAAUAAAUUAGAAACACGAAAUAUUUUGUUCUCAAAACCAGCCAAUUAUUUUAAAAGAAAUCUAUACUUGGUUUGUUCCUUUUAUUUUAAUGAACAUGUGACAAUUGUGGUUUUAUCCUCUUUUCAGGUCCUCUAAUAACCAAGAUUGGCAGUGUACUGGAAAGGGUAUGCCCCUGCUUCUUGCACUUCCUCCUGUUUGUCUUUUCAAGCCCUGAAGCACAGUAAUUUAGAUACCUGCCUUCCAUGGUCACUGCUGCAAUGCCUCUAAUCCCAACCAUAGUUUGAAGUGCUUUAGUAUCUUUCUUGGUGCUAUUACAAAUUCCUGGAGACACACACAUACUAGAAGCUUGUGGGUAAAGGAAGACGUGCCUGAUUUUCCUGCAAUUUGACUCUUUCAAACAAGAGAACAUUUUAAAUUAGAAACCUCAAGAAUAUUAUGAUGUGGCACUUCAGGACAUGCAAAAGAUACCAAACAAUGCUUAUUUUAGGAACCUGUGUAGCCCAGGCACUGAGAUCCAGGAAAUAUUAUGCUGCUGCAUUUGGAUGUUGUGGUUUCGUCCUCUUUGCUGUCUCUACUUUAACAUUUUGAUUUCUUACUGCUGUUACCAAAAUGACAUCAGGACUUCUUCAUCCAAACCAGCAUUUCUAACUAUGUAAGCUAUACAGAAAGGAUACUGUGCCAAGUGCUGGCAGUAUCCCAAGGUUUUCUGCUAUGUCAGGACAUCAGCCCUCUUCUUGAAAAGACCUAAAAUUAAAUGCAUUUCCUCAUUAUUAACUUAGUUCUAUGAGAGCUGGCAGCACAGACCAGCGUGAUCUUUCUGUAUUAGACAUUUCAACAUUUUUGUGAUCUUUUCUUUGGGUGCUGCAAGGUGCAUUUUUCUUUGCUCUGAUUCUUGUGCUUAAAACCUCUUUCUGUAACUGAGUGUAUUUGAAACAUUUUUCCUUCUUUCAGUUUCUUUGGUCUGGCAGUGAACAAGCAGAUGUUUUGUGCCACUGGAUAAACUUAAAUAGUAUUUUAUUGUCAGAAUUUAAAUACAAAUGCCCGAAACACAAAAGGAA